rnacentral:rRNA from 1 species
GACGGGGCCCGCACAGGCGUGGAGCAUGUGGUUAAUUCGAAGCAACGCGAAGAACCUUACCAGGCCUUGACAUGCAGAGAACUUUCCAGAGAUGGAUUGGUGCCUUCGGGAACUCUGACACAGGUGCUGCAUGGCUGUCGUCAGCUCGUGUUGUGAGAUGUUGGGUUAAGUCCCGUAACGAGCGCAACCCUUGUCCUUAGUUACCAGCACGUUAUGGUGGGCACUCUAAGGAGACUGCCGGUGACAAACCGGAGGAAGGUGGGGAUGACGUCAAGUCAUCAUGGCCCUUACGGCCUGGGCUACACACGUGCUACAAUGGUCGGUACAAAGGGUUGCCAAGCCGCGAGGUGGAGCUAAUCCCAUAAAACCGAUCGUAGUCCGGAUCGCAGUCUGCAACUCGACUGCGUGAAGUCGGAAUCGCUAGUAAUCGUGAAUCAGAAUGUCACGGUGAAUACGUUCCCGGCCUU